rnacentral:rRNA from 1 species
AAGCCAAUCAGUGGAUGGCUCGGUUCGAGUGCCGAUGAAGGGCGUGCCAAGCUGCGAUAAGCUCCGGGUAGACGCAAGGAGUCUAUGAUCCGGAGAUUCCCUAAUGGGACAUCCUGCUUCGAAAGAAGCGAUCCAGAUUUGGAUCGGGAACCCCCCGAAUUGAAACAUCUCAGUAGGGGGAGGAAGAGAAAUCAAUCGAGAUGUCGUGAGUAAAGGCGAUCGAAAACGACACAGUUCAAACCGAAUCCCGCAAGGGACAUGUGGUGUUGAUAAGCCUCCCGGAAAGACAGACCAUCCUAAGCGGAAAUUUCUCUGGAAUGGGAUACCGCAGAGGGUGACAGUCCCGUACGUAUACGGAUGAUCUGUCUGGGGAGUGUCUUGAGUAGCGUGGGUUGGAAUUCUCGCGUGAAUCCGGGGAUCAUCAAUCUCCAAAACUAAAUACUACUCGAAACCGAUAGCGCAUUAGUAGCGUGAGCGAAAGCUGAAAAGUAACCCUGAAAAGGUGGUUAAAAGUGCCUGAAACUGAUUGGUGAUAGUGUGUUGCGGUGUGAAAGGAUCUCCUGGGCGAAAGAACCCGUCGCGAGGCGGCAGUAUGGGCUCAGGUGCCAGCAUCGUAACUUACGUUUUGAAGAACGGGCCAGAGAGUUUAUUCUGUUGGCGAGGUUAACCGGUAAGGGAAGCCUAAGCGAAAGCAACAAGUCCGUAGGCUUCGGCCAUGGGACGGCGUAUUAAAAGUGCGUGGAGUCGACAGGAUAAGACCCGAAGCCCAGUGAUCUAUGCGUGGGCAGGCUGAAGGGUGACGAAAGUUGCGUGGAGGGCCGUAGCGGUAUUGAUAUGCAAAUCAUUCGUGUGACCUGCGUAUAGGGGUGAAAGGCCAAUCGAACUGGGCAUCAGCUGGUUCCUCUCGAAACAUGCCGUAGCAUGACCUGGCCAGAGAUAGACGGUGAGGUAGAGCACUGAUUGGGGAAGUUGGGGGAGAAAUCCCUCACUCUCCUGUCAAACUCCGAAUUCCCCGUCGUCGUAGAAGGCCGGUAGUCCGCACUACGGGGUAAGCUUGUAGUGCGUAAGGGAGACAACCCAGACUGUGGUUAAUGUCCCCAAGUGUAGGUUAAGUGUCAACACUAAAAGAUGUCCUGGGCCAAAGACAACUGGAAGGUGAGCUUAGAAGCAGCUAUCCUUUAAAAAGUGCGUAACAGCUUACCAGUCGAGGUUCAGGGCGCUGAAAAUGGACGGGGCUAAAACCUACCACAGAUACCACAGACCACCGCAAGGUGAUGGCGUAGAGAGGCGCUCUGCAUGGGCGGAAGCAGGGCCGUGAGGUCCUGUGGACCGUGUAGAAUUGAGAAUUCUGGCAUUAGUAGAAGCAUAGUGUGGUGAGAAUCCACACCGCCGAAGGGGCUAGGUUUCCUCGACAAUGUUCGUCAGUCGAGGGUUAGUCGGUCCUAAGUUGUACCGUAACUCGAGUACAGCGAAAGGGAAACAGGUUAAUAUUCCUGUACCAUCUGAUUGUAGUCAAUUUAUUGACCCUGACGUUUUGGGAUAUGCUUUGCAGGGCCGUCGCCCUGUCCAAGCGUCGAAACCCUUGGAGAACCGUAAUGGUGAGAAUUGGGCGAAUGCGUGAUGGAGUAAUAAGGCAAACUCCUGGAACCCGUGAAAAGGGAAUCAGAUGUCCGUACCGAGAUCUGACACAGGUGCCCCUAGCUGAGUAGGCUAAGGCGUGUCGGUUUAAUUGUGUUUAGGGAAUUCGGCAAAAUAGCCCCGUACCUUUGGUAGAAGGGGUGCCUGCCCAGAGAUUGGGCAGGUCGCAGUGACCAGGGGGCUCCGACUGUCUAAUAACAACAUAGCAGACUGCAACUCCGUAAGGACUAGUAUAGUCUGUGAUUCCUGCCCAGUGCAGGUAUCUGAAAACCGGGUACAACCGGACGAAGGACCUGUAAACGGCGGGGGUAACUAUGACCCUCUUAAGGUAGCGUAGUACCUUGUCGCUUAAUUGGCGACUUGCAUGAAUGGAUUAACGAGAGCCCUACUGUCCCAAACACAAGUCCGUUGAACAUUUUAUCCUAGUGCAAAGGCUAGGGACUCCUUAUGGGAAGUGAAGACCCCGUGGAGCUUUACUGCAGCCUGUCGUUGUGUUACGGUAUUCAUUGCGCAGAGUAGAUGGGAGAUGUCGAUCCAACCCUCGUGGGGGUUGGGGAGUCGCAAUCUGAGACACCAUCCUUUGUUUACUGUAACACUCACUCAGUAGAGGACACCGAUAGGUGGGCAGUUUGGGUGGGGCGCCACACCCUCGAAAAGAUAUCAAGGGUGCCCCAAGGUCAACUCAUGUGAGUCAGAAACUCACAGAAGAGUGUCAAGAGCAAAAGUUGGCCUGACGCUGAUACGCAUAGCAAGUAUCUGCGAGAGGAAACUCGGGUCUAACGAACCAAUACGCCCUGUUGAUGAGGGCUAUUGACGACAGAAAAGCUACCCCGGGGAUAACAGAGUCGUCGCCGGCAAGAGCACAUAUCGACCCGGCGGCUUGCUACCUCGAUGUCGGUUCUUUCCAUCCUGGCUGUGCAGCAGCAGCCAAGGGUGAGGUUGUUCGCCUAUUAAAGGGGAUCGUGAGCUGGGUUUAGACCGUCGUGAGACAGGUCGGUUACUAUCUAUAAGGAGUGUGAGAAGUCUGAAGGUAAGACGGAAAUAGUACGAGAGGAACUUUCCGUCGUCGCCACUGGUAGACCGGUUGUCCGACAGGGCAAUGCCGGGUGGCUACGCGAUAAUGGAUAAAAGCUGAAAGCAUCUAAGCUUGAAACCAGACCUAAAACGAGACUUCGCUAUAGGGCAUGGAUAAAAGAUCCGUUUGAUAGGCUCGGGAUGUACGCACGAAGGUAACGACGUGUUCAGUCCACGAGUACUAACGCCCAAAUCAGCUC